GGUGGUGAUUACUCACCAAGAAGGACAAUCCUGGAAAGAGGCAAACUGUAGUAGUGACAGUACCCCAGAAAGACUAAAUCUUGCCUCUGCGUUCCAGUUGGUUAAAGCACUCAAUGUACAGGUGGUGUUGAUAUCUAAAUAAGCAUCUACAGACGUCACAGAUUCCAAGUAGGCUUUCAAGUUGUCUUCCUGGUAAGACAUGGGGGUGGCGGUACGUUGUGUACUCUCAGCACUUGGGAGGCUGAGGAAGAAGGAUCAGCUGUUUAAGGUCAACCUUGGCAACAUGAUGAGUUCAAGGCCCGAGCUACAAGAGACUUGUCUUUAAAACCACCCCCCCCCCAAAAAAAAAUUUAAAGAAUGAAUGGAGCCACUAAAAGAAAUCUCUUUACCAAUGUCUAGAACAAACAGUGGCUUUAAAAAAAAAUAAUUCAAGAAUUCACCUCUUCAUUCACAUGAAGGCAGGAGUUGGUAUUUGCAAACCUGAUAUCAAAGUCAAUUCACUACCAUGGGAGAGUGAUUUAAGAGUUCUACUUGGGAGAAGUGGUUGGUAAAAAUCUCAAACCAAGUUGUUUCAUCCUGUUGUUGAUACAUCCAGUUUAGAGGUUAUACUAGAAAAGCUAGGGGUAUCAUCCCAAGACAGAUGUUGUCAUAAGAAAAUACAGAAGUCUAGGCAUCAACUCAUUUAUUCAGUCAAUAAAUAUUAAUCGGAUGCUUACCCAGUCAAAGUACCAAACAUGGAGAGAAAGCUAGAUCUUUAAUCGCAAAGACACUGUGUGAGCAAUAUAGGAGAAGAAGAACUGAGUGGGCGUGUAUAUUUUUGUAAUGGAAGACUAGUAGUAUAGUUUCAGGAAGAAGGCUAUAGAAGCCAACUGGCUUGUCUGAUCAUUUAACGGUUUAGUCUUUGAAAGACUUUGAGGGAACUUGCUGUAUCUCCCUGAGCCAACAUUGGAUCCCUCCUAACGUUUACUUAUUACUUCAUCUUAGUGCUUUUUAUUUACUUAGAUUAAAAAAAAAAACAGUUUUAAGGAGGAUAGAAACUUGGCAGAGAUUACCCUUCAAGGCGUGAUUUAGAUACAACUCCAUCUUUUUUUCUCCAUGCUUACCUCACGGAGCUGUCAUUAAGGUAAGAUGCCGGUUGUUUUUGGAGUGGUGGACUGACUCACUGCCCCAUGAUCAUACUGUAUCCGCAGAUGAACAAAUACAGGAGUGGUAUUUAGUCACUUUCUACGUCUACUCAGAUAAAUGGACAAUUUAAGCUAUAAUGUUCCAGUACAAGAUGAUUCUGUUUGACUCAGGUCUCAGAAAGGGUAGUAGCAUACCAAAUUAUAGCAGUUACGAUGGCAAAAAGUACGAAGCUUCUAAUAACAGCUCCUCAUUUUAGCACGUGUAUGUCUUUGGAAACUUCCUGUUAUUUAAUGCCUCUGCCCCCCUCUCUUGAUUAAAGGCUGUUUACCUUAGUCAUAUAUCUCCUAGCACUCUUGGAGCUUCAUGGGGUUUGUACCUACAAGACAUUGCAUCAGAACCAUUACUAUGCCUCAGAGACAUGCAGGGGGCCCCGGGGCAAAUAAAAAAAAUGUUUUUGAAUGCACAACAUGUGUGAAGUUGAUGAAAAUUCAUGACAUCUCUAUCAGGGCUGUUUCAGCUUACGUCAUCAGAAAGGUGAGUGCAAAUAAUUUCAUUUAAUAUUUUAAAUUCUGGAAUCUUUCCCAUUGCAAAGAAUCCAUGCAAGUUCUAUGUUUUGGCUCUGUUCUGUUUAGUUAGUCUGACUUUGAAAAGUAAAGAAAACAAAAAACAGUUCCUGACUGUCUUUUAGAACUUUUCAUUUGCCCAUAUAUGCAGUCUUUAAAGCGGAACUGAAACGUGGCUUGAGAAUAUAGUCACCAAAUGCAAAUAUGCAAAAUACACUCAUAAGGACCGUUAACAUUUAUUACUUUUUUUAAGGUAUAGAAAUGUCUUCAAAUUUAUCUUUUAAAACAGAAAUAAAAUAUUCAAGAAACUCUUAGAAAAUAAAAUAGCCAAAGGCUGCAUAUAUAGUGAUCAGCUGUUAUUAAGUAAAAAUCUAUUGAAAGCCAGAUAAAAGGCAUUGUGUAGUGGGUCCCCGACGAAAACUGGGAAAACAAGAGCAUCACAGUUAAUUAGAACCAAUCAAGGCGAUGCUUUGCAACACCUUUCACACCAGUGCAACAUCUGAUCUCCAUAGUCUACAUUUCCCACAGUUCUGUAGAAAGAAGGGUGGGGAGAAAAUGUUUGACUCAUUACACUCCACGACACAGUUGAAUUCCACUUUCUUUUAAUUCUUUUAAAGUAACUGUUAUGGAAAUAAGAUCUUGGAAAAAGAAUCCCACAAAUGUCAUUUUAUGUGUGGUUUAGGAUAAUCUGACUUAAAUUUUGUUUUAAUUUUAUAUGUAUUUUUGUGUGGGAGAAAAACACUUAUCUUAAAAAUAAAAUUUAGACCAUAAAUUUGAGUUAUUAAAUACUUUUUGUAUACGUACUAAGUAGUGGCGAGGAACCGAGCCUUUCUUGAGUCACAAGAGUCCAGGGAUAUUAUGAAUGAUACUGCAAAUAAGUAUCAUGUUACAUUUCUUCUUGGAUUAACACAGUACUGAACUAAGUUAACCAUGUAACAACAACAUCACACAUUAUCUUGGAUUAACACAGUACUGAACUAAGUUAACCAUGUAACAACAACAUCACACAUUAUCUUUAAAAGAACAGAUAAGACUGAACACUAUCUCAUUUCUACAACUCAUUCAGUGUUUGCUUCUACCCAGAGCACAUUAAGUUUUAGUUGGUUUAUAAUUC
rnacentral:lncRNA from 1 species